rnacentral:rRNA from 1 species
GGGGGGGGGGCCUUAUACAUGCAAGUCGUACGCACUGGCCCAACUGAUUGAUGGUGCUUGCACCUGAUUGACGAUGGAUUACCAGUGAGUGGCGGACGGGUGAGUAACACGUAGGUAACCUGCCCCGGAGCGGGGGAUAACAUUUGGAAACAGAUGCUAAUACCGCAUAACAACAAAAGCCACAUGGCUUUUGUUUGAAAGAUGGCUUUGGCUAUCACUCUGGGAUGGACCUGCGGUGCAUUAGCUAGUUGGUAAGGUAACGGCUUACCAAGGCGAUGAUGCAUAGCCGAGUUGAGAGACUGAUCGGCCACAAUGGAACUGAGACACGGUCCAUACUCCUACGGGAGGCAGCAGUAGGGAAUCUUCCACAAUGGGCGCAAGCCUGAUGGAGCAACACCGCGUGAGUGAAGAAGGGUUUCGGCUCGUAAAGCUCUGUUGUUGGAGAAGAACGUGCGUGAGAGUAACUGUUCAUGCAGUGACGGUAUCCAACCAGAAAGUCACGGCUAACUACGUGCCAGCAGCCGCGGUAAUACGUAGGUGGCAAGCGUUAUCCGGAUUUAUUGGGCGUAAAGCGAGCGCAGGCGGUUGCUUAGGUCUGAUGUGAAAGCCUUCGGCUUAACCGAAGAAGUGCAUCGGAAACCGGGCGACUUGAGUGCAGAAGAGGACAGUGGAACUCCAUGUGUAGCGGUGGAAUGCGUAGAUAUAUGGAAGAACACCAGUGGCGAAGGCGGCUGUCUGGUCUGCAACUGACGCUGAGGCUCGAAAGCAUGGGUAGCGAACAGGAUUAGAUACCCUGGUAGUCCAUGCCGUAAACGAUGAGUGCUAGGUGUUGGAGGGUUUCCGCCCUUCAGUGCCGGAGCUAACGCAUUAAGCACUCCGCCUGGGGAGUACGACCGCAAGGUUGAAACUCAAAGGAAUUGACGGGGGCCCGCACAAGCGGUGGAGCAUGUGGUUUAAUUCGAAGCUACGCGAAGAACCUUACCAGGUCUUGACAUCUUGCGCUAACCUUAGAGAUAAGGCGUUCCCUUCGGGGACGCAAUGACAGGUGGUGCAUGGUCGUCGUCAGCUCGUGUCGUGAGAUGUUGGGUUAAGUCCCGCAACGAGCGCAACCCUUGUUACUAGUUGCCAGCAUUAAGUUGGGCACUCUAGUGAGACUGCCGGUGACAAACCGGAGGAAGGUGGGGACGACGUCAGAUCAUCAUGCCCCUUAUGACCUGGGCUACACACGUGCUACAAUGGACGGUACAACGAGUCGCAAGCUCGCGAGAGUAAGCUAAUCUCUUAAAGCCGUUCUCAGUUCGGACUGUAGGCUGCAACUCGCCUACACGAAGUCGGAAUCGCUAGUAAUCGCGGAUCAGCAUGCCGCGGUGAAUACGUUCCCGGGCCUUGUACACACCGCCCGUCACACCAUGGGAGUUUGUAACGCCCAAAGUCGGUGGCCUAACCUUUAUGGAGGAGCCGCCUAAGGCCGGGACCAA